UACGAAGGGUGCAAACGUUGCUCGGAAUCAUUGGGCGUAAAGCGCACGUAGGCGGCUCCAAAAGUCGGAUGUGAAAUCCCUGGGCUCAACCGAGGAAGUGCAUCCGAAACUGCGGAGCUUGAGUAUGGAAGAGGGUCGCGGAAUUCCCGGUGUAGAGGUGAAAUUCGUAGAUAUCGGGAGGAGCACCAGUGGCGAAGGCGGCGACCUGGGCCAAUACUGACGCUGAGGUGCGAAAGCGUGGGGAGCAAACGGG
rnacentral:rRNA from 1 species